rnacentral:rRNA from 1 species
UACAGAGGGUGCGAGCGUUGUUCGGAAUUACUGGGCGUAAAGCGCGCGCAGGCGGCCCUUUAAGUCUACCCGUGAAAUGCCGGAGCUCAACUCCGUGCACGCCGGGGGAUACUGGAGGGCUGGAGACGAGUAGAGGCAAGCGGAAUUCCGGGUGUAGCGGUGGAAUGCGUAGAGAUCCGGAGGAACACCAGUGGCGAAGGCGGCUGCCUGGGCCUGGCCUGACGCUGAGGCGCGAAAGCGUGGGGAGCGAUCCGG